rnacentral:rRNA from 1 species
GACGAACGCUGGCGGCGUGCUUAACACAUGCAAGUCGAACGGAAAGGCCCUGCUUUUGUGGGGUGCUCGAGUGGCGAACGGGUGAGUAACACGUGAGUAACCUGCCCUUGACUUUGGGAUAACUUCAUGAAACUGGGGCUAAUACCGGAUAGGAGCUCCUGCUGCAUGGUGGGGGUUGGAAAGUUUCGGCGGUUGGGGAUGGACUCGCGGCUUAUCAGCUUGUUGGUGGGGUAGUGGCUUACCAAGGCUUUGACGGGUAGCCGGCCUGAGAGGGUGACCGGCCACAUUGGGACUGAGAUACGGCCCAGACUCCUACGGGAGGGAGCAGUGGGGAAUAUUGCACAAUGGGAGGAAGCAUGAUGCAGCAACGCCGCGUGCGGGAUGACGGCCUUCGGGUUGUAAACCGCUUUCGCCUGUGACGAAGCGUGAGUGACGGUAAUGGGUAAAGAAGCACCGGCUAACUACGUG